rnacentral:tRNA from 1 species
UAAUUUUUCCUUUUAGCAAAACAAAAUGCACUAGUAUUAGAAACUAACAAUCCCCUA